rnacentral:rRNA from 1 species
UACGUAGGGUGCAAGCGUUGUCCGGAAUUAUUGGGCGUAAAGAGCUCGUAGGCGGUCUGUCGCGUCGGAUGUGAAAACCCGGGGCUCAACCCCGGGCCUGCAUUCGAUACGGGCAGACUAGAGUUCGGUAGGGGAGACUGGAAUUCCUGGUGUAGCGGUGAAAUGCGCAGAUAUCAGGAGGAACACCGGUGGCGAAGGCGGGACGCUGGGCCGAGACUGACGCUGAGGAGCGAAAGCAUGGGGAGCGAACAGG